rnacentral:misc_RNA from 1 species
AAAGAAAAACUGAUGAAUUCUCUGUCUUCCAUAAAACAAGUGGAUCUUGGUGCUAUUGAAUUUGAACAGAACCGUGGAAAACAACCUUCAAAUUUGUCCGCCCUUGCUCAAGGUCCAAGGUUAAGGCUGUUGUGGGCGUCCUUUCAGUUGCUCAAGAAAGAGGUAGAUAGUAUUUCUGCAAAUGCUGUUACCUCCGGCAAUGAUGACUCUCUGGGCAUUUUUAAUGAUGUCAUUCAGAGGUUGU